UACAGAGGUCUCAAGCGUUGUACGGAUUCAUUGGGCGUAAAGGGUGCGUAGGCGGCGCGGUAAGUCGGGUGUGAAAUCUCGGGGCUUAACUCCGAAACUGCAUUCGAUACUGCCGUGCUUGAGGACUGGAGAGGAGACUGGAAUUUACGGUGUAGCGGUGAAAUGCGUAGAUAUCGUAAGGAAGACCAGUGGCGAAGGCGGGUCUCUGGACAGUUCCUGACGCUGAGGCACGAAGGUCAGGGGAGCAAACGGG
rnacentral:rRNA from 1 species